rnacentral:tRNA from 1 species
AGUCUUAUAUUCAACAAUGAUAAUAGAAUGCAAUUCUACAGGAAUAAUUAAGUAUUAUUAAGACUU